rnacentral:rRNA from 1 species
UACGGUGGGGGCAAGCGUUGUUCGGAAUUACUGGGAGUAAAGGGCUCGUAGGUGGCCAACUAAGUCAGACGUGAAAUCCCUCGGCUUAACCGGGGAACUGCGUCUGAUACUGGAUGGCUUGAGUUUGGGAGAGGGACGCGGAAUUCCAGGUGUAGCGGUGAAAUGCGUAGAUAUCUGGAGGAACACCGGUGGCGAAGGCGGCGUCCUGGACCAACACUGACACUGCUGAGCGAAAGCCAGGGGAGCAAACGGG